UACGUAGGGUGCGAGCGUUAAUCGGAAUUACUGGGCGUAAAGCGUGCGCAGGCGGUUUUGUAAGCCAGAUGUGAAAUCCCCGGGCUUAACCUGGGAAUGGCAUUUGGGACUGCAAGGCUGGAGUGUGGCAGAGGAGACUGGAAUUCCCGGUGUAGCAGUGAAAUGCGUAGAUAUCGGGAGGAAUACCGAUGGCGAAGGCGGCUCUCUGGGACGGUACUGACGCUGAGACGCGAAAGCGUGGGGAGCAAACAGG
rnacentral:rRNA from 1 species